GUGCUCAAUUCUGUAGCACAUAUACUAAAAUUGGAACAAUACGGAGAAGAUUAGCAUAGGCCCUGCACAAGGAUGACACAAAAAUUUGUGAAGUAUUUAAUACUUUU